CUACAGGGAUCCUCAAAAAGAAUGUGUCUUGUAAGGGAAUCCGGGCCAUCCACCGAUUUGGCUUCGGGUAGGUGCUAUCCGUGCGGCAACAUCGCCAUCCGUGCACCAAACGGAUAGACCUUUAAGCGAUAGAAGUCGAUGCGGGAGUUUAAGAUAUUAGGUUCAAGAAUUUGGUUAACAGAUCAAAAUGGUGAUGUUGUUUAGACCAUGUGUUUGGAAGACUGCCUCUUUGAUAUUUGUUUAUUAAAUUUUAAGAUGUUAGGUUUUUGAGGGUGUUUCAUGUUGUGCAUCUCAUUUUUAGUGUUCGUCUACAUAGCGUGUUACCAGAUUAUGACUGAUUUUACAUCAUGUUGUGCAUCUCAUUUUUAGUGUUCGGCUACAUAGUGUGUUACCGGAUUAUGACUAAUUUUACAUAAAUAUAAUUAUUCAAUCUGAUUCG